AACGAACGCUGGCGGCAGGCUUAACACAUGCAAGUCGAACGCCCCGCAAGGGGAGUGGCAGACUGGUGAGUAACGCGUGGGAACAUACCCUUUCCUGCGGAAUAGCUCUGGGAAACUAGAAUUAAUACCGCAUACGCCCUACGGGGGAAAGAUUUAUCGGGGAAGGAUUGGCCCGCGUUGGAUUAGCUAGUUGGUGGGGUAAAGGCCUACCAAGGCGACGAUCCAUAGCUGGUCUGAGAGGAUGAUCAGCCACAUUGGUACUGAGACACGGCCCAAACUCCUACGGGAGGCAGCAGUGGGGAAUAUUGGACAAUGGGCGCAAGCCUGAUCCAGCCAUGCCGCGUGAGUGAUGAAGGCCUUAGGGUUGUAAAGCUCUUUCACCGAUGAAGAUAAUGACGGUAGUCGGAGAAGAAGCCCCGGCUAACUUCGUGCCAGCCGCCGCCGUAAGAC
rnacentral:rRNA from 1 species